CGGCAGCGCCGGGCACAGCGAGGGCUUUUCUCCUCGUCUUUCUCUCCCCUAAAUCCUGUGCUCCCCUUGGAAAACCGCCCGCUCUGUCGGGGAGGGUGCGCUGCUCGCCGUCAGCAGGAUAGGUUUGGGUUGCUUUUUGGUUUGUAACGAGGGCAGGAGGUGAGACAAUGAUCAAGUCAAGUUGGUUCUACGUCAAGUUCAAGCAUGCAGAGAAGCCCUUGCAGUUCAUUCAGAAAGCCCUCGAGUCCCUGAACACAGCAGAUAAUGUUCCUGCUUUGCUGUCACCGGGUGAUUCUCUGUGUGUGUUACAUAACCUGUCAUACCAGCUUUGUCAGAGACAGAUAUUUUUGAGAUCUACAACCUGGGAAAUUUGAUCAUGGAUGAAAUCCAGGAAGCCCAUUUAAUCUGUAUUCUUAGAGUUACUUGUGCCUUUACAAGACUUUCUUCCGAUUCACCAGGGAAGUUGCCAAGUCUGUUCAUCUGUUGGGGGGGGGGAAUCCCCAAACCAUAAUGCACACACUUAGGAAGACAAAAACUGAAGUGCAUGUCUGGUCUUUUAUUGGAUUUCCUGUGUGAUAAGAGACUGUUAUCCAUUUGGGUUGAAGUGGGGGUUUCUUAAUGGGAGGCUCAGGAGAAAUUUUGGUCUUGGCUAUGAGGUGGGGCUGUCCCCCUCACUGAACGCAGGAUUUUGUGUCAACGUUCUUAUUGUGGCUGGGGCUUCUUCUGCAUUAGCUUCAAGUCUUGUCUGCCUGUGAAAGUUGUACUAGUAUGGCUUGGGUGUGAAUUGACGCUGAAUGUAUUAAACUGGUGCAGUUCUCUGGCGGGGCUCUCUGGGUACACACUCUGUCAAACAAGUGUUUCUGUGAUAGUGUAACCACAGUGGCUUAAAAAAUUAGGUCAAAUUCUUUUGCAACUUCUCUGUGUUGUCAAGGUUUUAGAAAUUGGGUUUAUGUGAGCUAAGCUGAAGAACCUUUGAAAUUCUCAAACCAGCUUUUUAUGGCAGUUUGUCUAAGUGGAUUUAGAAUCUCACUUGGAGAUGCAGUUUCUCCUUUUCAGCUGACACAAGUGUGGGCUGCUGCAGGAAUGAGUGCUCCCACUCCCAGUUGUCAGCAGUAGUGUUUGUGCAGCCACCUGGGGAAGUGACCCAACCCAAACUGAAGGGGUUUUAUUCCUUUUUUGGGCUGGCUUUGUUUUCAGGCAGGUCAGAUGUGUCCCAGCUCACCACAAGUGUACAGCAAGGUGUAGCUGGGAAUACCUGGGUGAGUGUGAGUAGAAAGGACAGUGAUGUCUCUCCUGGCAGCAGCCUGUGAAAAUUAAAUUAAUUUAAGUUUACUCUCCCCAUGUGGAAGUGUUACAUAAUCUCUGUGUAAGGCAGGUCAUUUUAGGUUAGGGAAAGGUUGUGUCUCUGCCCUGCCGUCAGUGCAGUAUCUCGGUUAAUCAGAACUGGAGCUGCUCUUCCUGUGUGUGCUGCAGUGCUGACAUGGCACUGCUCCCUCCUAAUUCUCUUCUAAAGAAGUUCAUUGACAUUUUUAUUAGCUGGCUGGCUUUGCUGAAGUUGAUGUCCUUGCCUCUGGCCAUCACAAAUAUUUUCUUUUUUUUUUUUCUUUUGAUUUACUUCGGAAGAUGUUGAGGUCUGAAGACCCCACUGUGAUAAAGCAUAUAUAUUUAUAUACAUGUCAGAGGUAACUCUGCAGGUAGCUUUUAUAUUGUAAAAUAUUCCUUCCCAUAUAGAUUGUCAACCUGUUUUAUUCUCUUGGCAUCACUACACUUUCCUGCCAUAAACUGUUCUAUUGAUUGGGUUUGAACGCUGCUCAUCCUGUUUGGAUUAUCUGCAGCCUCUGCAGACAGACCUGAACCAAGGUGUGCUGAUGUAACUUGCCUGAGCUUCAGAGAUUCAACCCUCACGGGUCUUCUGGGAGCUUCCAAAGUCAUUGGGUCCACCUGGCACCUUGACAUCUCUUAACCAGUUAAUUUUAGGUUAUCUACCUGCUUGUGCAGAGGCUGGUUUGUACUGGUGGGCAGUGGUCACGCAUCUGCAGCUGCAACACAAAGCCUGCAAAAUGGUCUUCAGCUGUCUUUGGAUGCUCACCUUGUAUCCUAAAGACAUGUUGGAACUGGAAACAGAAGAGAGAGGCAUUGGCUGUAUUGAUGUGUUAGUUUGCUCAAGUCAUCCAAACUUUAUUUUAAGUUGUCUAAACAAGCACUAUAAACCCUUUCACAGCUAUGUAUUUUUAGUUGUGAUUAAAAUAAUCAGAUAAUAAAACUAGCUAAAGUAGAAAUCCACACGA